UACAGAGGUCUCAAGCGUUGUUCGGAUUCAUUGGGCGUAAAGGGUGCGUAGGCGGCGCGGUAAGUCGGGUGUGAAAUCUCGGGGCUUAACUCCGAAACUGCAUUCGAUACUGCCGUGCUUGAGGACUGGAGAGGAGACUGGAAUUUACGGUGUAGCGGUGAAAUGCGUAGAUAUCGUAAGGAAAACCAGUGGCGAAGGCGGGUCUCUGGACAGUUCCUGACGCUGAGGCACGAAGGCCAGGGGAGCAAACGGG
rnacentral:rRNA from 1 species